rnacentral:rRNA from 1 species
UACAGAGGUGGCAAGCGUUGUUCGGAAUUACUGGGCGUAAAGGGCGCGUAGGCGGCCUACUAAGUCAGACGUGAAAUCCCCCGGCUUAACCGGGGAACUGCGUCUGAUACUGGAUGGCUAGAGGUUGGGAGAGGGAUGCGGAAUUCCAGGUGUAGCGGUGAAAUGCGUAGAUAUCUGGAGGAACACCGGUGGCGAAGGCGGCAUCCUGGACCAAUUCUGACGCUGAGGAGCGAAAGCCAGGGGAGCAAACGGG